rnacentral:rRNA from 1 species
AUACGUAGGUGACAAGCGUUAUCCGGAUUUACUGGGCGUAAAGGGCGUGUAGGCGGUCUUGCAAGUCAGAAGUGAAAUUCCUGAGCUCAACUCGGGCGCUGCUUCUGAAACUGCAGGACUUGAGUGCUGGAGGGGAUGGCGGAAUUCCUAGUGGAGCGGUAAAAUGCGCAGAUAUUAGGAAGAACACCGGUGGCGAAGGCGGCUAUCUGGACAGUAACUGACGCUGAGGCGCGAAAGCGUGGGGAGCAAACAGGAUUAGAUACCCUGGUAGUCUACGCCGUAAACGAUGAAUUCUAGGUGUAGGGGGUAUCGACUCCCUCUGUGCCGCAGUUAACACAAUAAGUAUUCCGCCUGGGGAGUACGGCCGCAAGGUUGAAACUCAAAUGAAUUGACGGGG